rnacentral:rRNA from 1 species
UACGUAGGGGGCAAGCGUUGUCCGGAAUCAUUGGGCGUAAAGAGCGCGUAGGCGGUCCGGUAAGUCCGCUCUGAAAGUCCGGGGCUCAACCCCGGGAGGCGGGCGGAUACUGUCGGGCUAGAGUCCGGAGGAGGCGAGUGGAAUUCCUGGUGUAGCGGUGAAAUGCGCAGAUAUCAGGAGGAACACCUAUUGCGAAGGCAGCUCGCUGGGACGUUACUGACGCUGAGACGCGAAAGCGUGGGGAGCAAACAGG